AACAAAUCGGUUUCACUUAGCUGUGAAUUAAAAGGGAAUCAGGUGCAAAUCCUGAACAGUCCCGCUGCUGUCAGAAAAAAGUCCGUUGUAAAUAUGUCACUGGCUUAUCCGCCGGGAAGGCUACACCGGACGUUGCUGUUUCGCUGAAUUUUCGAGUCAGAAGACCUGCCGAUUUAU
rnacentral:ncRNA from 1 species